UUUCUUCAGGAAAUUUACCUAAGAGCAGAAUUACUGGGUUAUGGAGUAUGCGGAAUUCUCAACUAAGAAAUUCCAAACUGGCCCCCUUACAUUGGUCUGCACUCCUACCAACAGUGCAUCAGGGUUCUUCUGCCUCCACAUCCCUGCCAACCCUAGAUGUUUUUCCAGGUUUCUAAUUUUUACCCUUCUGAUGGAUGUGCAAGUGAUAUGUGUUUAUGGUGUUUUUUGCCUUGUAAACAUUUUUUUAAUGUAGUCAAGUCAAACAAUCUUUUCUUUUGUUGUAUCUGGAUUAUUAGCCAUAGUGAGAGAGCUUUCACGUACACCCAGGUUAUAAAGUUGUUCAUCCAUAUUUCCUUACACUUUUAUCAUUUCCUUUAUUUUACAGGUAAAUCCAUGAUACAUUUGGUAUUUAUUCUUGUGCUAAUUUCUGGAUUUCCAAAAUAUAUUCUUUUGCAAAUGAACCUCUCUCACCAACACCAAAACUCAAGUUCUCAGCAGGUAAAGAGAAAAAUAUUUUCUGGAUCAACAGCUGCAUAGCAGAUAGACGGGGCUGUGUUAAUUGGCACCACCAACUGGAGUCAUCGUCUCAUUAAGUUAAUGAUAAGCCGGUAUCAUUUUCAUGAUCAUCUCUCUCCUGCAUAGGCUAACAGGUCUAACAGGUGUCGACUCAUUGGCUCCCCAUCUGCUGCUUGUCUCCUCUCAGGCAAUGACGUCACUUGGGAUAAGGAGGCACCUCUUUGUAAGAGUCAGUUGAAAUGUUUUUUCUCACAAUUCCCUCCAUUUGAUCCAUAUUUGCCCCUGGAGUUACAAAGAAGAAAUCCAAUCCAUCUCACACAGGGCUGUCUCUCAGAUAUUUGAAAAUUGGAGUCACAUGCUGCAUGGUUCUUCUGGUGUUUCUCUAUUUUAAGAGGUAAUUUAUCUGAACAGGUGGAAUUGAAUUCACAUAAAAAUCACCCUACUUUCCUGUUUUGAUAGUAAAACCUUUCCAGUAUAAAGAUCAUUCUCCUAGUGAUUAAACUUAAAAGACGUUAGAGAAAAUUAAAUUACAAUCCCAAGAAGUAGAUUGCUUCCUUCCUUAUUAUUCUUACUCUGAAUGAUGAAAGAAGGUCUUAUAAUUCUUAGCAAUUUCCCCCAAGCCUCCGGUCAUUCUGCAUUUUAUUCUUCCUUCAA